UACCCCUGUAGUCCUAGCCGUAAACGAUACUCGCUAGGUGUCGGCCACGGUGCGACCGUUGUCGGUGCCGUAGGGAAGCCGUGAAGCGAGCCACCGUGGGAAGUACCGGCCGCAAGGCUGAAAACUUAAAGGAAUUGGCGGGGGAGCACCACAACGGGUGGAGCUUGCGGUUUAAUUGGAUUCAACGCCGGAAAUCUUACCGGGACCGACAGCAACAUGAAGGCCAGGCUGAAGACUUUGCCGGAUUAGCUG
rnacentral:rRNA from 1 species